CCGAGCCCCGGCCCCGCGCCCCGACGGCCGGCCAGAGCAGCCCCAUGGCGGAGCAGGUGGCCCUGGUGAUUGGGGGCAUCCUUGGGGGGCUGCUGCUGCUGCUGUUGAUCGGGGUGAGCUGCUAUCUCUGGAAGAGGCUUUGUGCCACGUUCACCUAUGAGGAGCUGUCAGGGACCACGGCUGCCUCCAGCACACAGGGGGACAAGCUCUGCCCGCCCGAUGCCAGGACCCAGGCAAGCAGGCCACCAGGUGUACCAUUUGUGGUGCCCCCUUCCCUCCAAAGCCGAGACCAGGUGGCCCUGAGCAGCAGAGAGUGGGCCCAGGCCCCACGGGACCCCUGCCCAGCCCCAGAGCUCCUGCCCCACGCCACUGGCAGCAGUUUCGGAGAGGCGUGCCCGGUGGGGACCAUCAACCCAGAGCUCUACAAGAUCCUGGAGGACAAAAGUGAGACGGACGUCCCUGAGGGCUGCCUGGGGCGGCUGUGGUUCUCCGUGGAAUACCAGCGGGAGGCCGAGCGGCUGCUGGUGGGCCUGAUCAAGGCGCAGCGGCUGCAAGCCCCCUCAGAGGCCUGUAGACCCCUGGUGAAGCUCCACCUGCUGCCAGAUGAGCGGCGCUUCCUCCAGUCCAAGACCAAAUGCAGAACCAACAGCCCACAGUUCGACGAGCACUUCAUCUUUCAGGUGUCCAGCAAGAGUGUCACUCAGAGGGUGCUGAGGUUCUCAGUGUACCACGUGGACAGGCAGGGGAAACACCAGCUUCUGGGCCAGGUGCUGUUCCCCCUGAAGAAGGAGACCCUGGCGGGUGACUGCCCGCGCAUCAUCUGGAGAGACCUGGAGGCCGAGAACCUGGAGCCUCCCUCCGAGUUUGGCGACCUCCAGUUCUGCCUCAGCUACAACGACCGCCUGAACCGCCUCACCGUGGUCGUGCUGAGAGCCAAGGGUCUCCAGCUCCAGGAGGACAUGAGUUUUGUCACAGCUGUGAGUAAUGGGGUCCUGGCGCCCAGGCGGGGCACGUGCCCUCCCAGCCCAACCUCCCACAGGCUGGAGGUUGGGCCCCUGCCCGCCCCUCCCAGCCCGCACUCGGCACUGCCCCCCAGGUGUGUUCGUCAAAGUGUCUCUGAUGAACCACAACAAGUUUGUCAAGUGCAAGAAGACUUCGGCUGUUCUGGGCUCCACCAACCCUGUGUACAACGAGACCUUCAGCUUCAAGGCUGACCCCGCCGAGCUGGACACUGCGAGCCUCAGCCUGACAGUGCUGCAGAGUGCCGAAGGGGACAGUAAGGCUGCUCCCUCACCCUCAGGCCACUGGGGCAUGGGCAAAGGGAGCCACGAGCUGGGCCGGCUGGUGGUUGGCCCCUACAUGUACACCCGUGGCAAAGAGCUGGAGCACUGGAAUGAGAUGCUUAGCAAACCCAAGGAGCUGGUGAGGCGCUGGCAUGCUCUCUGCCGCACCACUGAGCCCUGACCCCAGCAGGGCCCUGGGCCCUGCACCCAGCAUCUCACUGGGCUGCGAGGCCAGGCUGAGCCGGGGGAACACGAGUGCUCACGUGCAGGAGAGCAGAGGAGACAAGAGAGCCCCGGCCAGGGCAGUGGUGUGGCCCGUGGGUUACAUCUCCACCAGCCCGAGAGGCCUUCCUGACUCAUUCAGUCCUUCUUUACCCGCGGACUGCCUGGGCUUAGCCUCCUGGCUCCUGGUCAUCUCAGUCUCGAAUUGGACCGGAAUCUCAGACCUUGGGAGGAAAUAGUCUCUGUAGUGAAAGCGUAGCUGUGCAUGCCGUGUGGAGUGCAGAGGAAACUUGGAAAGCUGAUGAUGUGUUGAUGCUGAGCCUACACUUUUUUCUGCUGUGGUUUCUCUGCCUUCUGCCUGGUAGAGAAAACAGACUGCCCGAAGUGUUUAUUUCACUUGGUUCACAAUAACUAGCACAGUCUGAGAACUGGGUUCAGCGUGCAGGUGUGGAACAGUCCCAGGAUGCCUGGGCAGCUCGGCUUGGGAGAAGGCUUCUGGGGAUUAUGACUCGCUGGCUUCACACCUGCAGGAGAAGCAGCCCGCCCAGGUACCAAGUGGUGGACAGGUCCUGGGCGUCCACUCCUGGAGCUCUCACUUUGGGCAAGAAAUGGUGAGAACACGUGGCCAAAAGCCCAUAGGGCCAAAACCUCUUCCUGUAAACCUAGCAAUUCCAUUAUGAUUAUUGUGUUGUGGUAGGUGUCGGUGAAAAUUUCACUAAGAUGGAAGUUCCCACAAACCACGGUCAUCAACUCCCCGUGAAAAUGUACUCAAGGUCACCAGCAGCCCUUAUGCUUGUCACUGUUAAUUUAUCAGGUAGUUUGUAUUUUCACCUGAAUGCUACUAAACUUGCAGAUUCAAGUCUCGUUACUAUGUAACUAUACUGGUAACUUAAAACUGUAUCUUGGUAUAUCUUCUCUUUUCUUACAAAGUGAAGCAAGGGAAGCAACUUCUGCAAAAGAAAGUAGUGGUGAAUGCUGCACUAGGUUUGUGCCUCUCCUCCUUGACUUCACUGCCAAUCUCUGUCAAUGCACAAAUACAAGCUUUGCUGGCAGUGGUCCAU